rnacentral:rRNA from 1 species
UACGUAGGGGGCAAGCGUUGUCCGGAAUUAUUGGGCGUAAAGAGCGCGUAGGCGGUCCGGUAAGUCGGUUGUGAAAGUCGGGGGCUCAACCCUCGAAUGCCGGUGGAUACUGUCGGGCUAGAGUGCGGAAGAGGCGAGUGGAAUUCCUGGUGUAGCGGUGAAAUGCGCAGAUAUCAGGAGGAACACCAAUUGCGAAGGCAGCUCGCUGGGACGUUACUGACGCUGAGACGCGAAAGCGUGGGGAGCAAACAGG